UCGCUACUACCGAUUGAAUGGCUUAGUGAGCCCCAGGGACUGGCGCAUUUUGUUGGGUUCCUUCAAAGCGCUGCCGGAAACUGGGUCAAACUUGAUCAUUUAGAGGAAGUAA
rnacentral:rRNA from 1 species